CUAGCAUAUCAAUAAGCGGAGGAAAAGAAACCAACAGGGAUUGCCCUAGUAACGGCGAGUGAAGCGGCAACAGCUCAAAUUUGAAAUCUGGCGUCUUUGGCGUCCGAGUUGUAAUUUGCAGAGGGCGCUUUGGCAUUGGCAGCGGUCCAAGUUCCUUGGAACAGGACGUCACAGAGGGUGAGAAUCCCGUACGUGGUCGCUAGCCUUUACCGUGUAAAGCCCCUUCGACGAGUCGAGUUGUUUGGGAAUGCAGCUCUAAAUGGGAGGUAAAUUUCUUCUAAAGCUAAAUACUGGCCAGAGACCGAUAGCGCACAAGUAGAGUGAUCGAAAGAUGAAAAGCACUUUGGAAAGAGAGUUAAAAAGCACGUGAAAUUGUUGAAAGGGAAGCGCUUGCAGCCAGACUUGCCUGUAGUUGCUCAUCCGGGUUUUUACCCGGUGCACUCUUCUAUAGGCAGGCCAGCAUCAGUUUGGGCGGUUGGAUAAAGGUCUCUGUCAUGUAACUCUCUUCGGAGAGAACUUAUAGGGGAGACGACAUGCAACCAGCCUGGACUGAGGUCCGCGCAUCUGCUAGGAUGCUGGCGUAAUGGCUGUAAGCGGCCCGUCUUGAAACACGGACCAAGGAGUCUAACAUCUAUGCGAGUGUUUGGGUGUCAAGCCCGAGCGCGUAAUGAAAGUGAACGGAGGUGGGAACCUUUCGGGGUGCACCAUCGACCGAUCCUGAUGUCUUCGGAUGGAUUUGAGUAAGAGCAUAGCUGUUGGGACCCGAAAGAUGGUGAACUAUGCUUGAAUAGGGUGAAGCCAGAGGAAACUCUGGUGGAGGCUCGCAGCGGUUCUGACGUGCAAAUCGAUCGUCAAAUUUGGGCAUAGGGGCGAAAGACUAAUCGAACUAUCUAGUAGCUGGUUCCUGCGAGUU
rnacentral:rRNA from 1 species